CUCCUUUACCUUUAUCCACCCUUUCUUGUAUUAUAAUUACAUCUUAUACCACCAACUACCCCAUUAAACUUCAAAUCAAAAGGCUUCCUUCCGUGUGAAUUGAGACAUGAACAUUGAAGAGGAAAAGAAGCAUUCUCCAGAGCCAGAGAAAAAGAGAGAGGAAAAGGGAGACAAAAUUGGGGGAAGGCAUGGGUAUGGGGGGAUUGGGAAGGAAUAUCCAUAAGCAAAAUAUGCUAUUUCUUCCCUACACCUCCCAUACCACUGUUUUUCCUCUCUUUCUCCCCCUUCCCUUCCUUUCUGCUGCCUUUCUAUAUCAAACCUCCUUCUCAUCUCUUCAUGACUGCUUUUAUAACUGAUAGCACCCUACUUUUGAAGCUACUAGGGGUUUGACCUGAGGCUUAUCAUAGACAGAAUUGUAUUUCCCAGUUUCUGGUACAUGACUAUAACUAAACUCUUUUCAUUGAGUAGAACUAGACGUAGUAACUACUCAUAAUCGCACAAGCAUAGAACCACCCUGGCACAAAAGCAUGUAACAAGUUUGGCAUUGCUUUCCAUUAGCAAAUAAAAAAGACAGACUUGGAAUUGGCAAUCCCAAACCAACACAUGAUAAAAUUUCACCUGCAUGGAAUGCAUAUAGAUAAACAAUGAAUGGCUGGAGAGUUCAUGUAUAGUUCUAAUCAUUUAACAUCCCCACUGACUAUUACUGUUGGUUUUUAACACAUAAAAUUCAAGAGCAUAUCUUAAGUUGACUUGGGAUUGGCCCAGUCCAGUGGAGAUAAUUGUAGUUCCUAGUUCCAACUUUGAAAAUAUUGGGUUACUACUUACUAAGAACUUGUUAACGGUUAACUUCACAAGCCACCAUGAUGAAUCACCUCAAGGUAGAAGAAAGUUGUGCAGUAAAUAGGCCUUACAAUAGCCACAACCUGUAAGGUACUAAUUACUCUGACUAGUGAUUACUGAUAACUAUUUGCAUAUGGAAAUUAAGAUUAGUGGACACAUUUAUGCUAUAUGUAGCCUGUGGUUUAUGAUUUGCGUUAGUGAACCAAGAAGGACAUUUGUAAAGCAGACUAUAAAAAUUCAAGAAGGGAUUUAAAACGAAACAACGAUUCAAUCAAUGAAACUAUCUGAAUUGCCAGGCAGAGAAGUUAUGCAAUCAAUAAAACUAUCUGAUAGUUAGAGAGACUAAUUGUAGGAAAUGGAACAUGUAUUCAGAUUGUAAGCAAUGUGUUAAUCAAAGUACGUUUCCCCAAAAUGAAUUUAUUUUUCAUUCAA